CGCUUGCUUUUGUGAGUAUUGAAAAGGAACUACAAUUCAGAAUUUCCUCAAUUUAAAAAGAAAAAAGGAAAAGAAAAAGACGAAGAGGGGGGAAAAAUAAUAAAGAAAAACUUACCCCACUGCACUACUACCACCACUACAAAUCCCACCCAAAGAAACCACCGAGAAACUACAGAGUCCACCAUCGGCCGGCGAUGCAUCUUCUUCAAUCUCCGCCGGAGGCAGAACCCUGCCUUCGGCAAACAAAUUCCGGCCAUUCUGCGUCGGUUCUUGAACAAUCCCUUCCUCAAAGUU
rnacentral:lncRNA from 1 species